rnacentral:rRNA from 1 species
GAUGAACGCUGGCGGCGUGCCUAAUACAUGCAAGUCGAGCGAACAGACGAGGAGCUUGCUCCUCUGACGUUAGCGGCGGACGGGUGAGUAACACGUGGAUAACCUACCUAUAAGACUGGGAUAACUUCGGGAAACCGGAGCUAAUACCGGAUAAUAUAUUGAACCGCAUGGUUCAAUAGUGAAAGACGGUUUUGCUGUCACUUAUAGAUGGAUCCGCGCCGCAUUAGCUAGUUGGUAAGGUAACGGCUUACCAAGGCAACGAUGCGUAGCCGACCUGAGAGGGUGAUCGGCCACACUGGAACUGAGACACGGUCCAGACUCCUACGGGAGGCAGCAGUAGGGAAUCUUCCGCAAUGGGCGAAAGCUUGACGGAGCAACGCCGCGGGAGUGAUGAAGGUCUUCGGAUCGUAAAACUCUGUUAUUAGGGAAGAACAAAUGUGUAAGUAACUAUGCACGUCUUGACGGUACCUAAUCAGAAAGCCACGGCUAACUACGU